rnacentral:rRNA from 1 species
CCUCCCCACCCACCCUCUGGCGGCGGCUACCGAUCUCCUCCCCGGACUUGUCGCCUAAACCAGUUCGGCUCCAGAUGCUACGUUCUAGAUGAUGAAGGAAGGUCAAAUUCUUUCUGCAAUCGGAUUCGAAGAAAGGUGCCAAUUUCGUUCUGUCUUCGGAUUCGAAGAAGAAACGGAUCAAUUUCGAUUUGUAUUAGAAAAAGGAGUUGUUUUUAUAUGUCUGCCUCUCGUGAGAUAAUAGUAAAUCGGCCGGUUUACGGAUUCUGCACCGGCUUGAACAAGAUUCGGAAGCCUCCUCCGUCUCCGUCUCUUUUUUGGGUAGUAUCGGAGUUCUUUUGCGAGUAGGAUCGGAGGAGUCUAUAACAAGUUGAGGCUGAGCGUUCACCAUUGUCGCGAUAUCGUCGUUUCAGUAAUUAUUAUCUCUGCUUAUUGCAUCGCCAUGAAGCUUAAUAGGUGUCGCCGCGGCCUUAGUGAUUCGGGGACAGGAGCUGCUAAUGGGGGCUCGCUAAGCGAGCUGCCUGCUGAAGUACAAGCUUGUAAUGGGGACAAGCUAAGGGAGCUGCCUGCUGACUUAGAAGCAGGCAAUAGGGACAGGCUAAGCGAGCUGCCUGCUGAUUUGCUGCUUAACAUUCUGGAGAGGGUGGGUACGCUCGAUGCUGUAAAAACCUGCAUACUUUCCAAAAAAAUGCAGAAGCUGCCCACUAUGCUCUCGCAGAUCGUGAUUGAUCUUAGCACCGAUGACUUGGUCCGAAUUCACACCGUCGUGGCCAAUGUUACGAACAAGAUCCUCAAUGCAAGGUCUUCGAAGAUCACCAUUCGUAAGCUGAAGCUCAAAUUCUUUUUGAGUCCUUCUCACUGUCUCUCCAUCGGCAAAUGUGUUGGCCUCGCCAUGGCGGACCAGAAAGUGGACUCAGCCGAGUUUGAGAUCUUGACGCCCACGAAUGGUCAUCUUUGCACCGAAGCCUACCGCCUGUUCUUUGCUCAGCAGUUCAAUGAUUUUUUUCGUGAUUGUCCAGACGCAUUUGCUGGCCUCACGGGGCUGCAUCUACAAUACAUGAGGUUUGGUGAAUCAGACAUAACCAACAUCCUAAGCUAUUGCAAGCAGCUGGAGUCACUAUCUUUGUUCAUGUGUGACGAGGGGGUCUCUUCGGUGCUGCGUGUAGAACACGCACGACUCGUGGAGCUUGUUAUCUCCCAUUGUGAAUUCAAAACAGUGGAGCUCACCUUUCUACCAAAGCUCCAGCGGAUGACCUUUAAUAGUUGGCCCUCCUGUGCUGAACAUCCCUUGGCUCUUGGUUUUGUCCCUGAGCUUUCGAAGCUGAGCCUUGCUAAGGCAUGUUUUUCACACAAGACACUCAAGCUAAGCCAGCUGCUUGCUAAUGUCCUCUCCGUAAACGAUCUAUCCCUAGAAUUUCAAAGUGAAAAGAUUUGGAUUCGACCAGAAUCCCCGAAAGUGCUUUCACCUUGGCUUGCCAAACUACGGUUUGUGAAUCUGGACAAUCUUCCCGAAGAAUGUGAUAUUGCCUGGACAAUGUUCCUUCUUGAAGCUGCACCGUUUGUGGUGGAGUUUUGCAUCACGGUAUGGGAUCAUAAGUGCCACAUGGAGUCCCAAAAAAGUUACUCCGAGAAAACUGAUGUGAAGUGGGAGCCAUCUGACCCUGAUUUCAAGCAUAAGAAUCUAGCCAAGUUAACCAUAUAUGGCUUUCAGUCCGAUGAUAACUUCACAGGACACAUCAGGCGUGUCAUGGAGGCUGCUGUGAAUAUCAAGGAGGUAUCUCUGCAUGACAGGAAGGUGUGCAAGGUUUGCGCCGUCAAGUUUCCUCAUGUCGAGGUUCGUCCUUCGAGUUAUCCACGGACCAGCGAUGAGAAGAAUUUGUUGAGAAAUAAAAUCACAGAGGCGUUGCCGAAGGCUUCUCCUGCUGUGAUUCACUUCCACUCAUAAGGUCAAGUUUUACAAAUCAAUAAAUCAUUCACGGCAGCCAUGAUUUAUCCUGUGUGUGGUUGGAAGGAGUCCCUGAACUCCAAAAUCCAAUUAGUAGCCACAGCAUCAGUAUUUUCUGCUGAUGAAGCUAGCUAAGCUUGUAUAUUGCCUAAUUGGCUGCCAUGUAAGAAAUGCAAUAUCCUUGCUACCAAUUUGUUGGAACAACAACUCUUUUAACUAUUUUGCUUGUUCAUGUAUCUUCUUUUAAGUGCUCUUUUUUCUGCUGUGGUCGUGCAGUAAGUUGCCUGUGUUGAAUACAGC